CUGUUUGAUAACCGGUUCGCCGUGGCGAAUAGCUGAUUCUCCGCGUUUCACCGGUUUUUUUGAUGUUUGAUAAAGUUUCGGAGAAUUUGGCGUAUUUGGAGUCAACUAUCUAUACACCGGAUUUUUUGGUCAAAAUACACCCAUUCACCAAAAAAACUCGGCGAAUCCACCAUUUUUUCGCCUACCCAAAUAGGUGUUUUUUCAUUCACCGUGAAUUCGCCAAAGAUUAUUCGCCAGACUAUAUAACAUAAAAAAAAAAAAAACACAACCUAAAACUCGAUCUCUCUCUCUCUCUAAUGGCGGCCGCAACCUAAAACUCGAUCUCUCUUUCUCACCCUCACCACCGCAACCAAAACUCCAUCUCUCUCUCUCUCUCUCUCUCAACUCUUCUCCCUCUCUAUUUUCAUUAGUCUCCACCACCACUACUACCCACCACCACCACCGCUGUGAUUCUUCAUCGCUGUGAUUCUUCUCGUCUUCUUCUCGCUGGGUAAGCAUCUUCUUCUCACCCUUACUCUUUUAUCUUCAUCUGUUGUUUAAUUAAAUGGCUGUAAAUUGAUUGCAACUGCCGAAGGCACGGGUCAGCUGCUAGUAUAUGAAUAUAUCAACAUAACAAUAUGUGAAACCUAGCCGUCUCCCUUCUCCUUCUUCUUUCUCUAACUCGAUCUAACCAGUAUCCAUCUUCAUCUCCAGUUGGUGCCUUGGUGGUAACUUCAUACUUCAUUGUUAAGAAAAAAGGAUUGAAAAAAGGAUUGAAGAAAGCUGGA
rnacentral:lncRNA from 1 species